AGUGAACGCUGGCGGCAGGCCUAACACAUGCAAGUCGAACGGCAGCGGGUCAGUAGCAAUACUGAUGCCGGCGAGUGGCGGACGGGUGAGGAAUACAUCGGAAUCUACCUUGUCGUGGGGGAUAACGUAGGGAAACUUACGCUAAUACCGCAUACGAACUACGGUUGAAAGCGGCGGACUCGCAAGACCUCUCGCUAUCA
rnacentral:rRNA from 1 species